rnacentral:ncRNA from 1 species
ACAGCCGCCGCGGGAGAGUAUCCGCCCUGAUGGGCGGAUCGCCGAAGGAGCAACUACUUCCUCAGAAUCUCUCAGGCCCACGUACCGCAGCGGUCAG